rnacentral:rRNA from 1 species
UACGUAGGUGGCAAGCGAUACUCGGAAUCACUAGGCGUAAAGCGCAGGUAGGAGGUUUGGUAAGUCUGUUGUGAAAGCUCCCGGCUUAACUGGGAGAGGUCAACGGAAACUACCAGGCUAGAGUGCGGUAGAGGUAGCUGGAAUUCCCGGUGUAGCGGUGAAAUGCGUAGAUAUCAGGAGGAACACCAAUGGCGAAGGCAGCUCGCUGGAACGGUACUGACGCUGAGGCGCGAAAGCGUGGGGAGCAAACAGG